rnacentral:rRNA from 1 species
GAUGAACGCUGGCGGCGUGCUUAACACAUGCAAGUCGAACGGAAAGGCUCCUGCUUGCAGGGGUACUCGAGUGGCGAACGGGUGAGUAACACGUGGGUGACCUGCCCUGCACUUCGGGAUAAGCCUGGGAAACUGGGUCUAAUACCGGAUAGGACGCGGGCUUGGAUGCAAUUGUGGAAAGUUUUUCGGUGUGGGAUGGGCUCGCGGCCUAUCAGCUUGUUGGUGGGGUAAUGGCCUACCAAGGCGUCGACGGGUAGCCGGCCUUGGAGGGUGGACGGCCACAUUGGGACUGCGAGACGGCCCAGUCUCCUAUGGUGGGCAGCAGUGGGGAAUAUGACACAAUGGGCGCAAGCCUGAUGCAGCGACGCCGCGUGGGGGAUGACGGCCUUCGGGGUGUAAACUCCUUUCGCUAGGGACGAAGCGCAAGUGACGGUACCUGGAGAAGAAGCACCGGCUAACUACGUG